CGACACCUGUCCCCAUCCCGAACACAGCAGUUAAGCUCUCCUGCGCCGAAGAUACUUGGCGGGCGACCGCCCGGGAAAAUAGGACGCCGCCACCC
rnacentral:rRNA from 1 species